GCGGCGGAGGGGCAGGCGUCCAUGAUCGCCGAAAGGUCUUGAAAACCGUCGUGGCAGCGAUGUCACCGUGGGUUCAAAUCCCACACCCA
rnacentral:tRNA from 1 species